AUAGCCUUUAGCCAGACAAGUAUUAAAGGUCCAGCCUGCCCAGUGACCCCAUUUAACGGCCGCGGUACCCUAACCGUGCAAAGGUAGCAUAAUCAUUUGUCCCCUAAAUAGAGACUAGUAUGAACGGCUUAAUGAGGACUUAACUGUCUCCUUUGAUCCCCCAAUGAAACUGAUCUCCUAGUACAAAAGCUAGGACAAACACAUAAGACGAGAAGACCCUGUGGAGCUUAAAACACACCUAUUACAUCACAAGUUAACGGCACCAAGCCCCUAUAAAACAGUAUAAGUAAUAAUCGUUUUCAGUUGGGGCGACUACGGAGAAAAAUAAAACCUCCACGACAACAGGCUCACCACCACCCACCAAAGCAAACAUGCUAAACAAUUGACCCAGUAAUACUGACCAACGAACCAAGUUACCCCAGGGAUAACAGCGCCAUCCCCUUAAAGAGUCCAUAUCGCCAAGGGGGCUUACGACCUCGAUGUUGGAUCAGGACCCCCAGGCGGCGCAGCCACUGCCAACGGUUCGUUUGUUCAACGACUAAUGUCCUACGUGAU
rnacentral:rRNA from 1 species